AUUGAACGCUGGCGGCAGGCCUAACACAUGCAAGUCGAACGAGUGGCGGACGGGUGAGUAAUGUACGGGAAACUGCCUGAUGGAGGGGGAUAACUACUGGAAACGGUAGCCAAUACCGCAUACCAUCAGAUGUGCCCAGAUGGGAUUAGCUAGUUGGUGGGGUAACGGCUCACCAAGGCAACGAUCCUUAGCUGGUCUGAGAGGAUGACCAGCCACACUGGAACUGAGACACGGUCCAGACUCCGACGGGAGGCAGCAGUGGGGAAUAUUGCACAAUGGGCGCAAGCCUGAUGGAGCCAUGCCGCGUGUAUGAAGAAGGCCUUCGGGUUGUAAAGUACUUUCAGCAGAGAUGCGGUACCCGCAGAAGAAGCACCGGCUAACUCCGUGCCAGCAGCCGCGGUAAUAC
rnacentral:rRNA from 1 species